UNCAGAGAUGUAUGAAGUUGUGUCUUUAGC
rnacentral:piRNA from 1 species